rnacentral:misc_RNA from 1 species
GAUGAAGAACGCAGCGAAAUGCGAUAAGUAAUGUGAAUUGCAGAAUUCAGUGAAUCAUCGAAUCUUUGAACGCACAUUGCGCCCGCUGGUAUUCCGGCGGGCAUGCCUGUUCGAGCGUCAUUUCAACCCUCAAGCCCCCGGGUUUGGUGUUGGGGAUCGGCUCUGCCUUCUGGCGGUGCCGCCCCCGAAAUACAUUGGCGGUCUCGCUGCAGCCUCCAUUGCGUAGUAGCUAACACCUCGCAACUGGAACGCGGCGCGGCCAUGCCGUAAAACCCCAACUUCUGAAUGUUGACCUCGGAUCAGGUAGGAAUACCCGCUGAACUUAAGCAUAUCAAUAAGCGGAGGA